UACGGGGGGAGCAAGCGUUGUUCGGAUUUACUGGGCGUAAAGGGCGGGUAGGCGGCCACCGCAAGUCGACUGUGAAAUCUCCGGGCUUAACCCGGAAAGGUCAGCCGAUACUGCGGGGCUAGAGUGCAGAAGGGGCAACUGGAAUUCUCGGUGUAGCGGUGAAAUGCGUAGAUAUCGUAAGGAAGACCAGUGGCGAAGGCGGGUCUCUGGACAGUUCCUGACGCUGAGGCACGGAAGGUCAGGGGAGCAAACGGG
rnacentral:rRNA from 1 species